rnacentral:rRNA from 1 species
CAGCAGCCACGGUAAUACGUAGGGUCCGAGCGUUGUCCGGAAUUACUGGGCGUAAAGAGCUCGUAGGUGGUUUGUCGCGUUGUUCGUGAAAACUCACAGCUUAACUGUGGGCGUGCGGGCGAUACGGGCAGACUAGAGUACUGCAGGGGAGACUGGAAUUCCUGGUGUAGCGGUGGAAUGCGCAGAUAUCAGGAGGAACACCGGUGGCGAAGGCGGGUCUCUGGGCAGUAACUGACGCUGAGGAGCGAAAGCGUGGGGAGCGAACAGGAUUAGAUACCCGUGUAGUCCCUGUCUCUUAUAC